UCACGGCAAAGGGUAUCUCUAUUUUCACUCCAGAAGGGUUUUAGUGUUUCACGGCAAAGGGUUUCCGCCCUUCACCACUGCCGUCCGCCGCAACCUCCAUAGGUCAGGAAAUCAGUAGCGACCUCCAUAGGUCAGGAAAUCAGCAGCAACCUCCAUAGGUACGUUGGGAAGGGAGGAAAUCGCAACUCCAACAGGUUAAUUUCUACUGAAGGGCUACUGAAGGUCAGCGACCACCGGGAAGGGUUUCUCUGGGUCAGGAAGUCAGCAGCAACCUCCAUAGUUACGCUGGGGAUGGAGGAAAUCGCAUCUUCCGUAGGUUAAUUUCUACCGAAGGUCAGCGACCGCCCGGAAGGGUUUCUCUGGGUCAGGAAAUCAGUAGCAACCUCCAUAGAGUGAACUUCCAUUGGUUCAAGCACUAGAUUUUGAGGUUGAGGCUGUUUAACUGUAGAUUUUGGUUCAGGUUUUGCCGGUGUAACUAUUUCUAUAGUUUCCUGAGAACACCUGCAUUGCAUUGAACUAUUCAACUUUGGGGAAUUUUCUAACCUCAUUCAUUCUCUUGAAGGCAGUAUACAGGUCUACAGAAAUAUCUGUGAUAAUACUGACUUCGUGUACUAGCAAAGCUGAAUCUGAUGGCUAUCAUACUGGGCUAACUUCAGUCUUUUAUCCAAGUUAGAAGCAUAAUUCCCAAAAGCAUCACCUUGUUGUGCAUCUUGUUGAUGCAAACUGAUAGCUGCCACAGUGCUGGCUAGUGCAAUUCUAGCCUACAGUAUCAAUGCUCAAUUAUGACAAUACUUUCCAGCAAUUACCUUGUUCUGCAAUUCUGUAUUCUCUUGACAAAUGAGAUUUAGGUUCUUACAGAGUUCCAUGUUUUAUUGAUGAACAAGACUUCCCUGCAUUGGACAAGAGUCUUAUAUUCAGCAUAAGCAUAAGUACAAUGUAGAAUGGAUCAUUCCGGUAUCUAUCCAACAACACCUUUCGGUUUAGUUCCUUGAUCUCAUAAAUUGGUGAAAUUAGAUAUCUGCCAAGUAGACAAGUACUUUACCUUUCUCGUUCGAAUACCUCUCAGGCUCACUUCAAAUUGAUUCUCCAGAUUUGUCAGAUCUUUGAUACUUAGUCCAAAAAGUUCUUUUCCCAAAAGCUGUCUGCAUUUAUGUGAAACAAAGAACUGAUGGCUCAAAUAGACGGUAGGAUGAAGUUUAGGAAAACGAACGUGGGUUUUGUUAAGUAUUUAUCAGCUAAACAAGAAUCUCCUAAACAUGAACAAGAAGAUGAUUCUACAGAAGAUCAAAGUAAUGUCAAAGAAUUCGUUGAUAUAACUUCAAUUCGGCAUUCAGUGAGGACAACUAAAAAACAUUCAAUGAAAUAGUCUCUAUCAUUGUCUCUCUUGUCCAUAUAUAUGACGAAGUGGAAGGAGUUUUUCCGCAAAAAAAAAAAAGACUUGAAGUACUCACCAUACUUUGACAGACGGUGUAUUUGCUAUCCUUCCUCUGAAGCUUUGUGAAGAUGUGAUUAUUUAGCAUCUAUAAUGCAUAGCCAAGAAUGUGGUGCAUUUAGAGAACUAUUUCUCCAAUUCCAUCUUGUUGGGUUGGUUGAAUUGUGAGUCUUUAGUCUUUACAAAUUGUAUGAAACAUUUCAUUUUAG